GCUGCAGGGGGCUGGGUAACACCCGUGCCCACGGUGCCACCUCGCUGUGCUGGAGAGUCACUCCCUGUGCCAGACCCACCGCCGGGCAGGGCAGCAGUGAUAUUCCCGUCUGCCAUCGGAGCCACACGGAGCCUUUUCCCUUUUCCCUCUCCGCUGCCCAUGAGUGCAACCCAGCAACUGCUGACUGGAACGUUUCUAUUGUGGAGUUUAUGCUAAAUAUGCAUAUCUUAAUUGCAUUAGUCAAAAUAAUUAGCUAAUAUAUUUUUGCAUAAUGACGAGGUAAGCAAAUAUCACCAUAGCUCAGUGCUUCGUGCCUGAGUAAAUUUGGGAAAUUAAUAGACUCCCAAUUUCCUAAUUAUCUGCCUUUUAUUCCAAACUCCAACAACGAAACGCUCCUGCGUUUUGUCAUUUACUUUGCGCCUUGGAAAUUUUUAAGCACCUGGUUUUCCCUUUUUUCCCCCCACUUUAACAAGGAAAUGGGAGCCAUCCUUCCUCCCCUUCCCUGUUUUAGGCACUCAGAGUGGUGGAUCACAAAGUCAUGAGCUUCCUGAUUUCCAGACAGAGCUCGAGUAGGAAUUGGAACAAGGCAUUUUAGACUUAAAAAUAUGCAUUUAGUUGGAAAAGAAUUAAAAAUUAAAUUUAAAGUCUGAAAAGAAUUAAAAAUUAAUUCUUUGGAUGGGAAAAUGGGCAGUGAUGUUUGGGCAUUUAAUCCCUCUGGAGGUGGAUUGUUUUUCGAGGGGUGUUUGCAGAAGUGCAAGGCUGGAGUGUUCCUAAAUCCCUAAAAACCCCCACGUAAUCCUGAAAAUUGCACCAAAAAAAAGGUAUUUAAAGAAAGUGUUUUUUCCAACAACAGUUUUUGUGCAUCUCUAAUUUGCCCGUUUUCCUUUGUUUUCUGGUGAUGCAGGACUCAGGUCUUCUCCUUUCCCUGGAUCAAGAGCCAGAGGUGCUGCUGCCCAGACGGGAUUCCCUGGGAAUGGGGCCGGUAUCCGGACCAUGGGAUGUGGGCACCCUCGGCACGACACCUGGCUGAAAAGAAUCAGGAGCCCCAUCCUGCCACCAUCCUUUCCUUUCUGCAGCCUCUUCCUGGAUGAGGAUGGAAGCAAGCGCCCAGCUGGAGUGUGCCCAGCUCCAGCCAGGGAGAGGGAGAGCAGGCAAGGCAGGAGCACUUGGGAAAAUGGAUGGAAUGGCUGUCUGCUGCUGCCAGAUGUGUGAGCGAAAGCAGAUGUGACAGAUAAGCUGAGAACACCCGCGUCAGCUCACCCAAGGGCUGGGGGAGCAGCUUCCCGACCUGCUGGAGAGAGAGACACCGAGGGCGGCGGGGGGUCAUAAAUCAGAGGCCCCGCUCCCAGCGUGGGGCACGUUCUGCCCAAAAAAGAGAAAAAAGAAAGCCGAGACAUCACCAGUGACCCGACAGAUGCCGGGAGAAGCUCCGGCCGCGGGGCUGCGGAGGAUGAUGGAUGCCGGGAGUGUGAACGGGAGAUGUGAGACACGAGCCCCGCUCCGGGAGAGGCAAAUCUUAUUUGGGAGAAGUUCUUUUAAACAAGCCUGUCCUGCUGAUGGUG